rnacentral:rRNA from 1 species
AUUGAACGCUAGCGGGAUGCCUUACACAUGCAAGUCGAACGGAUUGGCGAACGGGUGCGUAAGGUAUCGGAACGUGCCCAGUAGCGGGGGAUAACUACGCGAAAGCGUAGCUAAUACCGCAUACUAUUGGAGCGGCCGAUAUCGGAUUGGCUAGUUGGGGGGGUAACGGCUCACACGGGCGACGAUCCGUAGCUGGUUUGAGAGGACGACCAGCCACACGGGGACUGAGACACGGGCCAGACUCCUACGGGAGGCAGCAGUGGGGAAUUUGGGACAAUGGGGGAAACCCUGAUCCAGCCAUCCCGCGUGUGGGAUGAAGGCCUUCGGGUUGUAAAGCACUUUUGGCAGGGAAGCGGUACCUGCAGAAGAAGCACCGGCUAACUACGUGCCAGCAGCCGCGGUAAUUC